AGUGAUGAAAACCUGGAAUAGGAAGUGCCGUCAGAUGCGACAACUGACGAUUGUGUUU
rnacentral:snoRNA from 1 species